CCGGCGGCGGUGUGUUUGCGUGCCUGGGGAAAAGCAUGAAGGAUAGGGUACACCCACCACCCACGAGUCUUCUUCCACGGCAGCAAAUCAGCGAAAAGUAGCAGCAGCGGCUCAGAGCGGUAAAAGCCUGGCAGAAAGAAGCCGCGUUUUCGCGAUCCGCUUUCGCGCAGUUUCUGGCGGCUCAUAGCGGGCUAAAAUGAAGGAGAAGCCUUACGCCGGCAGCAUGGAGGAGGUUUUUUUUUUGUGUGUGGGCAAUGUGGGCUAGAGCACCGACGGUUCCCCAUGCUUUGGGGAGCUGCUAAUAACCGCACCGGCGUGGCGUGGCGGACACGCAUGAGGCGAAAUUUACGCCAGCCAGCGGAACACACGAACGAACAGCCAGAGAGGCAGAUCUAUUUCUCGAUAGCGAAAAAGAACGAAAUGGAAUCCAGCCCGGGUCGGAAACUAUUUUCGGCCUGUAUAGUGCGUGUACGCGCUCUGUCUUAUUCCUAGGCAAGCGGAAACCAUUACGUCAGGUGUUGUGGUGUGUGAGUAACGUUGGAGCAAACGAACAGCAAGCCAUGAAGUAGAUCCUCUGCUUUCCCUUCCUUUUCUCGGGCUUCAAACAUGCUUAAUAAUUGAACGUUUUUUGAGCUUAUAUUACUCCAUUUUCCCCGGAUACGUCUACAACCACGUGGCGAAUGAGUAUUCCGUAUGCAC